AUGGAAGAAAGGCUCACACACACCCUUUCUGGGUGUAUGGGGGCCUCCUCUGGACGAGAAGGUGGAGGCCUCCUGCAGCCUUGGAGCCAGCCAGGGCCCCGGGCGUGCAGGCUGCUGGCACUUGCAGCCCCAGGGGCAUCCUGGCUCCUGGGGUCUCUGUCCAAGGACGGAGGCUGGGGGUGUUUCCUUCCUCCUCUGCCCAUCCCCCCCCAGCCCGCCUCGGUCGGUAACCGUCACAGGAAAUGGCCUCACCAAGCCCUUGAGCGACAGCGCACAUGGGGAGGCAACAGCUGGGGGCACAAGAGGGGGCACAGAGGUGGUGGUGGUGGGCCCUCCCCUGGGGUACGGUCCCCAUCUUCCAGACCAGAGUCCCAGCUUCCGAGUCCGGGAGGGGCUGUGGGGUCACCGCGCCCGCAGGGGCCGAGCGGGCAGAGAGGCUCUCGCAGUAGGAGGGCCUCGUCCGCCUCUUCUCUCCCUUGGGGGCCCUGCCCGGCCCUCGGGGACGUCAGGGGGUCAGCACCCGCGCCCCAGCCGGGCGCCGUGGCCCCGGGCACCCUCCUGUUCAUGCCCCCCCAGACGCCCUCCCGUGUCUCCCCAGGUUCGCACAGCCCUGGCCCGCGGGGCUCCUCCCCGGCCCGCUCAGGGCAUCUCCUCCAGGUCCUGGGCGCGUCCAGCCUCCGCCUGCUCGUGGGGCAGGGCCGAGCCGAGCCUAGCUCCAGGCUGCCCCGCAGAGGCCCGGGUACUCCGGCUCCCACGGACCUCGGCUGGAGACUGAUUUCCACUUCUUUGCUUCUGCCUCGGAGCCUCGCCCUGGAAGCCCUUGCCCCUUCAAGCCGCGGGAAUCAUGCCAGGCACAAACAGAAGUGGGCACAGACUGGGUGGGGCAAGGGGAGGCAGGAGUUCUUGCUUCCCAAGGGGCCAGGCUCAAGGGUCAUCCCAGGCCCUGAGUCUCACCCCGGCAGCCAGCCGCCUCUGGGCUGAGCCAGGCCAGCUGCCCUGGGAGUCGGUAGUGAAGACAGCUUGGAGGGUAGGAGGGUCUCGGGGCUUUUCCCGUCCCCAGGCCCCCCCAGGCCUCCUCCCAGAGCCCUGACGUCUACUCAGAGACCCACGGAGAGCAGACAGCCUCUGGCUGUCACACCAGGGGACCCCCCCCCCCACUGUGUCUUCUUUGCUGCUGGGGCGCCUGAAGCCUGGGCCUGGAAGGGGGGUGCCCAAGUCCAAGACCCCAAUGGCCCACCUCUGCCUCACCAGCGGGCCUCCUGUUGGCUCCCUGCUCGGCUCCUGUCACCUUGAAACAGUCCCCACACCCUCUGCUCCUGGCGCCCACAAUCCCAUCCUUCCCCUUCCACCCACUUCUCUGAUUCAGCCGUCCAUCAAAGGGCGACAGCAAAAACGCACUGACGUACAACAGGCCCGGGGGUGGGCACGCAGGAGGGGGCGCUGGGGAAGGGCUGGCCUCCAGGUGGAGAACAGGAUGGCCCUCUGGGGCUCGGGAGGUCCAGAGCUGAGGAAGCACUCGGCUCUGGUGCCCAGACGGGGAGGAGGGGGCAGGAGCCUGGGUGGACCUGUGGAGUGUGACCUCCGCCUCAGCUGACCCUCAACCCCACUCGUGUUUCCACUAGUGGAUGGCGGGGGCCUGGGGAUCAAAAGGGGGGCAGGAGGGGAUUGGAAAGAGGGCCACCCACUCUGGGGCAAGCUGUUGAUUGUUAUCGAGAACAGGAAGCUAGGGUACCGCAGGAGUGGGGAGGAGGAAGCGGGUGAAGCCCUCCCCAAACUGCUCUGCCUACGCCCCCAGGCUCUUAGGGUCUGAGCCCUCUGGGUGUGAGCACGCCUCCCUCCCAGGUUUGAGAAGCCGGAGGUUGAGCUCUUGGGUGGAGAGCAAGGAAGCUGGGGGCCAGGAAAUGGGGAAGGG
ensembl:lncRNA